AGAGUUUGAUCCUGGCUCAGAUUGAACGCUGGCGGCAGGCCUAACACAUGCAAGUCGAACGGUAACAGGAAGCAGCUUGCUGCUUCGCUGACGAGUGGCGGACGGGUGAGUAAUGUCUGGGAAACUGCCUGAUGGAGGGGGAUAACUACUGGAAACGGUAGCUAAUACCGCAUAACGUCGCAAGACCAAAGAGGGGGACCUUAGGGCCUCUUGCCAUCGGAUGUGCCCAGAUGGGAUUAGCUAGUAGGUGGGGUAACGGCUCACCUAGGCGACGAUCCCUAGCUGGUCUGAGAGGAUGACCAGCCACACUGGAACUGAGACACGGUCCAGACUCCUACGGGAGGCAGCAGUGGGGAAUAUUGCACAAUGGGCGCAAGCCUGAUGCAGCCAUGCCGCGUGUAUGAAGAAGGCCUUCGGGUUGUAAUGUUCUUUCAGCGGGGAGGAAGGGAGUAAAGUUAA
rnacentral:rRNA from 1 species